CAGUCGCCGCGGGAAUACGAAGGGUGCAAGCGUUAAUCGGAAUUACUGGGCGUAAAGCGCGCGUAGGUGGUUUGGUAAGAUGGAUGUGAAAUCCCCGGGCUCAACCUGGGAACUGCAUCCAUAACUGCCUGACUAGAGUACGGUAGAGGGUGGUGGAAUUUCCUGUGUAGCGGUGAAAUGCGUAGAUAUAUGAAGGAACACCAGUGGCGAAGGCGACCACCUGGACUGAUACUGACACUGAGGUGCGAAAGCGUGGGGAGCAAACAGGAUUAGAUACCCCUGUAGUCCCUGUCUCUUAUAC
rnacentral:rRNA from 1 species